UCUUCAUCGCUCUCUCUCUCUCUCCCCUUCCCAAUUUCUUCAAGUUCUCAAACUCUCUCAAGAGCUCAAGAACAUAAUUUCCUCAAUUCUCAACGAAAUUUUGUGAUUCUUGUUGCUGAGAACUCGAAAUCCCUAUCUCUUUCUCCUUAUAAUCUCGGUUUUCCUCAAAGCAAGCUAAGGGCACGAUGGGGAGAGCCCGUGGAAGAGUGAUCAAGGAAGACAAAGGAAAGGGACUUACAUCUACUUCCCAAGACCAAGCUGUCACAGCAGAUGUCAAAAGUAUUAACUUACAAAAAAGUUUCAAUCUUUCUUUGAAAUGUUAUUAACUUGUUACAAAGUUUCAAUUUUUUUGCACUGGUUAUUUGUGGCAUGUACAUGUGGAUACGAGACAUAGCAUAUACAUAGUUUUCUCGAUGUACAUGUGGAUAACGUGAAUAUGUGUACAUA